GAUGAACGCUGGCGGCGUGCCUAAUACAUGCAAGUCGAGCGAACGGACGAGAAGCUUGCUUCUCUGAUGUUAGCGGCGGACGGGUGAGUAACACGUGGAUAACCUACCUAUAAGACUGGGAUAACUUCGGGAAACCGGAGCUAAUACCGGAUAAUAUUUUGAACCGCAUGGUUCAAAAGUGAAAGACGGUCUUGCUGUCACUUAUAGAUGGAUCCGCGCUGCAUUAGCUAGUUGGUAAGGUAACGGCUUACCAAGGCAACGAUGCAUAGCCGACCUGAGAGGGUGAUCGGCCACACUGGAACUGAGACACGGUCCAGACUCCUACGGGAGGCAGCAGUAGGGAAUCUUCCGCAAUGGGCGAAAGCCUGACGGAGCAACGCCGCGUGAGUGAUGAAGGUCUUCGGAUCGUAAAACUCUGUUAUUAGGGAAGAACAUAUGUGUAAGUAACUGUGCACAUCUUGACGGUACCUAAUCAGAAAGCCACGGCUAACUACGUGCCAGCAGCCGCGGUAAUACGUAGGUGGCAAGCGUUAUCCGGAAUUAUUGGGCGUAAAGCGCGCGUAGGCGGUUUUUUAAGUCUGAUGUGAAAGCCCACGGCUCAACCGUGGAGGGUCAUUGGAAACUGGAAAACUUGAGUGCAGAAGAGGAAAGUGGAAUUCCAUGUGUAGCGGUGAAAUGCGCAGAGAUAUGGAGGAACACCAGUGGCGAAGGCGACUUUCUGGUCUGUAACUGACGCUGAUGUGCGAAAGCGUGGGGAUCAAACAGGAUUAGAUACCCUGGUAGUCCACGCCGUAAACGAUGAGUGCUAAGUGUUAGGGGGUUUCCGCCCCUUAGUGCUGCAGCUAACGCAUUAAGCACUCCGCCUGGGGAGUACGACCGCAAGGUUGAAACUCAAAGGAAUUGACGGGGACCCGCACAAGCGGUGGAGCAUGUGGUUUAAUUCGAAGCAACGCGAAGAACCUUACCAAAUCUUGACAUCCUUUGACAACUCUAGAGAUAGAGCCUUCCCCUUCGGGGGACAAAGUGACAGGUGGUGCAUGGUUGUCGUCAGCUCGUGUCGUGAGAUGUUGGGUUAAGUCCCGCAACGAGCGCAACCCUUAAGCUUAGUUGCCAUCAUUAAGUUGGGCACUCUAAGUUGACUGCCGGUGACAAACCGGAGGAAGGUGGGGAUGACGUCAAAUCAUCAUGCCCCUUAUGAUUUGGGCUACACACGUGCUACAAUGGACAAUACAAAGGGCAGCGAAACCGCGAGGUCAAGCAAAUCCCAUAAAGUUGUUCUCAGUUCGGAUUGUAGUCUGCAACUCGACUACAUGAAGCUGGAAUCGCUAGUAAUCGUAGAUCAGCAUGCUACGGUGAAUACAUUCCCGGGUCU
rnacentral:rRNA from 1 species